GUAGGUGGCAAGCGUUGUCCGGAAUUAUUGGGCGUAAAGCGCGCGCAGGCGGUCCUUUAAGUCUGAUGUGAAAUCCCACGGCUCAACCGUGGAAGGUCAUUGGAAACUGGGGGACUUGAGUACAGAAGAGGAAAGUGGAAUUCCAAGUGUAGCGGUGAAAUGCGUAGAGAUUUGGAGGAACACCAGUGGCGAAGGCGACUUUCUGGUCUGUAACUGACGCUGGGGCGCGAAAGCGUGGGGAGCAAACAGGAUUAGAUACCCUGGUAGUCCACGCCGUAAACGAUGAGUGCUAAGUGUUAGGGGGUUUCCCGCCCCCCUUAGUGCUGCAGCUAACGCAUUAAGCACUCCGCCUGGGGAGUACGGUCGCAAGACUG
rnacentral:rRNA from 1 species